GAGGAGUACAGGAACGAUGAAUGACUUGAAUAGUGGAGAUAAUGAUCACAUGGAACGACGCAAGAAACUACCCAAUGUACCAUCACUUCCAAAUACAGGCAAACUAACAGAUGCUGAUAUUGCAGCAAUGAAAGCACGUAGUAAGAAAGGUUCCAGUGGUAGUAGCCGAAAAGUUCCAGGUGAUGUACCUCUAAUGGCAAAGGGUAAUUGAGAUUCCAGUCUGUGUUUGUAGCCAUGGAGCCAGAAAGAAGUCAACUUUCAUUGGACUAAUGUGACAAAAUAUUGACUGUUCCUGAGUGUCACUUAUGACGUAUUUUAAAGUCUGUAUAUGGCUUGGACAAAAUGGAACUUAUUACGUGUUGUACUGUUGCUGAACAUUUACUAUUCUGUGGAAUUUACUCUGUGAUGUAUGAUGAUAUUUGUAUGACAGUGUUCUGACGGUUUAAUCUUAAGGUAUAUCCAUACAUCCCUGGGCCUCAUCUCAAUAAAUUCAGAAUCUUUUAAAAAAGAGCCCUUAGAGAUGUUCUUUGUAGUUUGCACUAUUUUACAUAAUACUCUUGUUAAGAUGGCCUGUGUUAUUGCGUAACUAACUCAUUUGCCUGUCUGAUUAUAGGCAAGUAUAAAUAUCUUUUGUUAUUUUCUUAUAUCAAGAAAGCCAGCAAGUUUUGGUUCCAUUCUUUAAUAUCUGUACAUUUCUUUAUAAAUUAAAUACGAAACAUAUGCUAAUAUUUUUUUUUGCCACUACUAUAUGAAUGAAAGUAUUUACAGCAAAUUGUGUAUUUCUGUGAUUUUGUGGUCUUGUCUUGGUGGACGAGGUGCUCCGUUGCCCCUCUUAUAUCUGUGUACAUUUUUUAAAGUAAUUUUUCCAACAAUUGUUUGAGCUGAUAAUAGUAAGUUAAAUAAACCACUGCAAGAUUUUGAAUAUACUAGAUUUGUAUCAAUGCUGCUAUUAGUCUAGAAAAACAAAUGUAAAAUUACUCUUCAGUCUAGUUUAACAGCUUGGCUGCAGCAUGAUCCCAAAGAGCAACCACUAAAAACAUCUUCCAGAUUCUCACUAUAUGUAUUUCAGUACACAGUUUAACUGCCACCUAUUGUUGUGAAAUAUUUGGACUAUGUUUGUUAGUUCAAUCUUGACAUCUAUUGCUGCUGCUAAUGAUUUUAUCAAUGAAAUUACCCCUUUUGAUUGUACAUGUGUGUGCUUCACUGCACUUUAAAGCUUAUUUAGAGAUCACAAUUCAGAAAACGUGUAAUUUAUCACCCUCCUACCAUAGGGUAGCAGAACGUGUCUUUAAAUUAGAUAUAUAAUAUUGUAUUUCCGAAAUAUUUAAGUUUUUAACAGAAUCAACAGUUGGCUGUAAUGUGUGUGUUCGUAUACUUGAGACAAACCAUUAUUGAAUUAGGGUGGGUUGGAGGGGUACAUCUUAAAUAAGCAUGUGAGGGUGGGAUGUGAUAUAUAUUUGAAAAGUAUUACAAUUGUGAGAAAAUUUGGCAUUCUUUGACUAUUUCUUGUUCUAAAUAGUAGUUAUGUGGACAUGUACUGCCAUUCAUUGUUUUGUCCUUGCGUCUACUGUGACAUAGUAUGUGAGACACUCAAUCCAUGUACACCUCUACCUUAUAACCACCAUGAAGAUUAUGCUUCUGUUGUACACAUCCAUCCUGAGAUUAUUGCUGAUCUUUCUCUCUGAAGGGUAAAACACUUUUCAUUAGAUAAUUCCAUGACGUGUACUACCCCCUAGAUAUCCAUUGACAAAUACCUUUUUCUUGAUCAUUCAUUUGGGUGUACAAGCCCAUUACCCAGUUUGGCAGACAUUGCCCAACCCAAGAUAAUUCAGUGGGUAUGCACUCAGUAAACAGCUAGCUGCCCUUGGGUUAUCUAGUUCAAUGGGUAGUUCACGUCAUCACUAGCCAAUUACUACUACUAUGUUGAUAAUGGUUAUACAUUUUUUAACUUAGGCAAAUAUGGGUAUAAUCACCACAAUUCUAGCUCCCACAGGACAUUGUUAAUGGUACGACCUUGGUUACCUAGAAUCGUUAGGCACUAUGGGUAGCACCACUAUGCAAUUUCAGUUCUUUCCUGCCUGGCUAGCACAGGGAUUUCAACUUAUCAUAAAAUUCUAGUGUUCUAUCAUGCAUUUUUAGUUGUGCACUCCAAAGAUAAAUGAUUUUGCUGGCUGUAUCCAUGCCAUGCCAUUCAGCAACAAAUGUUGUAUGUACUAUGAAAUGAAAUAGAUUACUUCUUUUGUCGGCAGCCAUCUCUCCUGCAUAACUGCCUCAAAUUGUCAACUGGCAGAUACCCUGCUACGGGAACAAUUAGAUUGGCAAUUCCUGUUUUCUGUAGCUAGGUAUCCUUUACUUUUUUUUCUUGCAACGUUCUUUGUGCCUUCCCUGUAUGCGAACAUUAUUCUUUUCUGGUAUGUCGGAAGUGCAUUGAACUAUGUAUAUUCCUGUCGUUUCAUUGUCUUGCUGUCUUCACAUCAAUUGUUGUCAGCAAGGACCCACUCCACUGAGUCUAGUGGAAAUUUAUGUUGGACUAUGUAUCCUGCCUGGUCCUCACACGUUGAUAGUUUGUCUUCGGGUAGGAAUAGACGUCCAAUGGUAACAACUAAACAGAGUAUGUGUUGAGUAUUCUGCUAGUUUGCCCUUAUUACCUUACCUGUCAUAGUGGUGUGUGCUCAGUUUUUCAGGUAAGGCAGUGUUCUUGUACAUUAUUGGUCAUUGAAAGUUGUUCUCUCGGGUUCUGACAAUUUGAAUGUAGUCUUUGUUCUGUACUUCAUUCAGUAUACCUUUAUAUAGAACAGUUUGACUGUCUAUACUGAUGCACAUCUGGCUUGGAUUAGUACUGACAGGUAUUGAUCAUCUUGUAAAUCAUUGCUAUGGUUUAAAUAGCUUGUUACAGACAAUCCAACAGAUUUUCAUCUUGUUUAAUGUGGACUCUGUUGGCUAGCUGUCUGGUUGUACUAGGGGUCCCGUAUUUGUGCAGCCUGUGGUACAGUUUUGUAUUGGGUAUUGACUUAGUAUGGCCAGUAUUUUGGCACAGAUCUCUACUUUGUAUGCGCUCCAUACAUCCGGUGUAUCAGGUUCCAUUUUUGGCAGCUGCAUAUAACCUUUUACUUUUCUGAUUUGUAGCACUGCUCACAUCCGUUUUAAGUUUCAUAAGGGUCUGCACAGAGUCAAUAUCAGUGUUCACAUCUGGCCUCUGUGCUUGCAUCCUGUACGAGGUGUACAAAACCAAUAUGGACCCUGUGCUGACACAUUUGGCUCCCAGACCAAGGGACGAGAAGCCUGUGCCUUUAAAGCAUGACUUUUAUCCCAAGUUCAUUGGUCCUUGUACAAAUUGUUGAAUAUGUCAUUGCCAACCUUUGCCCAUUAUUGGUCUGAGGUAUCACCCAGCAUUCACUAUCAACACAGAUACUAGAAAGCACAAGCCAUGCUACACUGCAUGCUUCCAUGCUUUGGACACGCAUACCAGUGAAAGGAGUUGGUUACAAAUCAAUUGCACUCACAGUGGUAGAGCCACAUCUACUAGUACCCCUACACUCGGACACCCAACAUCUGUUGUAUUUGGCAGUAGAAAGGAUGGGUUCCUUCCUGUGGACUCCGCUAGGCACCUGACAUUUUCGUACACCCAUACAUAGAUGACUAGUUUCUGCAUUACCUUCAGUACACACUGCCGUGCUUGAGACCACGAGUAUAUGUAACCGAGGUAAAUCUGAGUUAGUAUAACCAAAUGAAUGACUGACUGACUUGCCUAGGAAUGGGAAUGGACUUGUACAGUGCAGUCUUCUGCCCGGUGGGCAAACACUGCAACAGAAUAGGGCAGUGUGCAUCUUGAAUAAUGACAUGAACUUCUACCAUACUAUGAAUGAUCAUUGGCAUAAUGUCAUCUGUAAGAGAACCAGAUCACUUCAAAACUUUCGAUUGGACAAGGUGUUUGGACCUUCCUGUGAACUUGCCAACCAAUUGUGGGGAACUUCUAGUCUGGUUGACCAACCUCAAUCCCCUUUUUGUCAAGGUUUCCUUUCAAACCACACUUGCCAAAUGUGUUAAUUUUGUCAGAUGCAUUAGACAUUGGCUUCUGGAAUGACAGAUCCAAAUGUCCAGACACAACAACUGUAAAGAGCUAUAAAAACAGUUCAACUUGCUAUUGGGUCCUUUCUGUCGAAGUCAAUGACAGAACAGUUCACUCGAGAUUUGACAAUAUUGUUAACAAGAACAAAGCGCACAGUAAUUUUCUCGUGGUGCAUUCAACACAUCUCACUCCAGGCUCAAUCAUGUUCAAUGUCCAAUUAAAAAUUUCCAGUUAGGCUAGAAUUGUGGUUAUACCCAAAUUAGUUGAACAAUAUCUAACUAUUAUCCAAAUAGUGUAACUAAUUGAUAGUGACAAACAAUAGAACUGGCUAAAACUGGCAGUUCUUCUGUACAUGCUUGUAUCAUGGCUGUGUUGUCUUGUGCUUGCGUAAAUGCCAGAGGUGUCAACAAGUCAUAUUUUAACGAUUCAGUAUACAAUACAUAACAAAUGUUUGCAUGUUCUUCUAUUGGAGAUACACUUCGAUUAGAGCAAAUACGGUAGUUACUCAUCUCGUCAUAUACAUGUCUAUCUGCAGAUGUUCCAGUGGAAAUAACGCCGAUCUGCAAUCAUCACUUGAUAUAUUCUCUGACAAACUACAAUGGUCAAUAUGUGUAUAUAAAAUAGUAAACAUGUUAGAACUCAGAUUAAAACUGUUCUAUAUAUGACUUAGUAGUAGUUUUGGUUCACCAUCUCUGUCAUGUCAUAUGUAUUGGGAUGUCUUCUCUGUGUAAUGUGGUCGAAUGCAAAAUUGCUUAAAAUAAAUAAAAAAAUAUUAUGAACAUCA